UUGUGGAGGAGGACGCCGAAGGUGGGGCUAAUGACUGGGGUGAAGUCGUAACAAGGUAGCCGUACCGGAAGGUGCGGCUGGAUCACCUCCUAACAGGGGGACAACAAAAUGUUUAAUAUUAUUAUUUUGUCACCUUAGGUCGAUCGGUAUCUCACGUUCUUAACUAAUUAAGAAUUUCAAUUCCUAAGUUUUUCUAGGUCACACCCAUUAUUUUCCCUGGGCCAUUAGCUCAGGUGGUUAGAGCGCACCCCUGAUAAGGGUGAGGUCCCUGGUUCAAGUCCAGGAUGGCCCAUAUCUCUAUGUUGGGGGUAUAGCUCAGUUGGUAGAGCGCCUGCUUUGCAAGCAGGAUGUCAGCGGUUCGAGUCCGCUUACCUCCACUGAUUACCACCUCUUCCAUAAUUUGUAGAAAGGGAAUUUUUUUGAGUUGUGAUAACUUCUGAACGAAUCUAGCUUCCUAAUGAAAGCAUUAAGAUGCUGGACUCAUUGAAUUAAUUUCAUUGUUUUCAGAGAACCUUGACAACUGCAUAGAUUAUUUUUAAAGACAAUAAGCAUCUUUAAUGAUGCAGAUUUAUUAUUUGUGCAAAUGCAUUAAUAACAAUUCUAAUAAGCUGAUGCUUCAAUUUUGAAGUUAUUGGUCAAGCUACAA
rnacentral:misc_RNA from 1 species